rnacentral:lncRNA from 1 species
AAAAAAAAAAAAAAAAAUUAAUUUAUAUACAUAUUUUUACUGCAGGAAAAUAUGACAAGGUAAUGAAUAAAAUAUUUCACAAAUUAAAGUAUAUCUCAUUAGGAUAAAAUUCUGUGGGGGAGUUGGAAUGGAAAUACAAGAUUGAAAGAAAGUAAUAUCUCUGACUGCUGAAGAGGUUAUUUCUAUUUUUAAAUAGAUUAUGAUAGAAUUCAAAUUGUUGUAGUAUCUCCAGUCAAAGGAACUUAGGCUUCUUGAGAAAGUGGUUGAUUGCAGGUCUAAGGCAGGAAAAUACAAGAUGAAACUGGAAUAUCUUGUGAUGGCAGAAAAUAAGGAGGUGCUCACAAAAAGAUGGCACAUGUCUGAAGGCUACAGGAACCAACCUGAAGGAGCUCUCCAGUGGAAAUGCUGGAACAAUUUGAGCAAACAAUAAAAAAUUAUAAUAUUGGAUUAUAACCCACACAAUAAAUAUCUGUGUGUCCAUACUGAUGUAAACAAUUGAAUGAGUGAAUGAAUGAAUGAAAAGAAGAAACAGUUCUUCUCCCCAGUAAAUUCCAAUUGAUAAAUGUAGAAGAAAUGGGAGAAACAAAAAUCACUAUCAGGAAAACACAACAGUAAUAAUUGUUGGCAAGACCUACCAGUUGGUGCAAAAGUUAGUGGGUGAAUGUUUGAGGAAAAACAGAAUAUUUGCAUAACCUUAGAGUAUUUUCCCCAAAAUAAUCACUAAUUACAAAGAGAAAGUAAUAACUUUACAGUAGAGAAACUUCUUUAAUCAAGGGAUCAAGGUUAACAGAAGCAGUAAUAAGCCACAUCAGCAUCAUGUACCCCCUGGUAUGGCAUUGAGAAGGGCACAUGACUUCUUUGGUAUCCUCCCCAAAAUGCAUAAUCUCAAUCAUGAAAAAACAUUAGACAAAUCCAAGUUGAGGGACAUUCCACAAGAUAAAUGAUCACUUCAAAAGUGUCCUGGUCAUGAAAGAUAAGGAAAGAUUGAGGAAAUGUCAAGGAUUGGAGGACACUAAAGAGACAUGACAACUACGUGCAAGUUGAAAUCCUCAAAUGGAUCAUGGAACAGAAAAUGGUCAUUAUGGGAAAAUGGGAAAGUAAAAUAAAGUCUAUGGUUUAAUUAAUAGUAUUGUACCAGUAUUAGUUUCUUUGUUUUGAUGAUUAUACCAUGGUUUUAUGAGAUGUACCAUUAGAAGAAGCUGAAGGAGGCUGUACAGGAACUCUCUGGACUAAGUUGGCAAUUUUUCUGUAAACCUAAAAUCAUUUCAAUAUAAAAAGUUAACAUUUUGCUAUGAUAUUAGACACCACUGGAUAUAUUAAAAGGGUGAUAAGGCACUUUUAUUUUUACAUGUUGUUAUUUAUAAUAUUCUGAAAAUUGCAUCCUAAUUAUAAAAAAUUUUGGCUGUCAACUUAGAAAUUCGUGAAGCAAUAUGCCUUCUUUCAUGAUUCUUUUAACAAUUUUGUAUGCUAGCCAAAAAGUUUGAGGACCACUGCUAUAUGACAUUUUUUCUCUCAUGUCUCAGAUGAGAAGCAGGGCAAAACCCUGUGUGUCUCCAACUUACCUAACACACCAUCCGCUGUAGGAUUAGGAGCCAGACACGUCUUGCUGCAGGCCAUGCUCACUUCCAUCUGCUCUCUUUUCCCUGCAUUCUUCUUUUGUGUCACUUCCCUGACUUGUCAGUACUUCUAAUUCUCAUAGUCCUGCUAUCCCCUACAACCUCGUGCCUUAGUAUUAAUAGGGUACAGCAGGGAAAAACUCACUUAGUUUCCAUUUUGUUCUUGGAGAAGAAAAAUUUGGAGACAUUUCCAAAAUGGCAUGUACAUCAUAAUUCUUAUUGCCAACAUUUAUAAGAAACUUUGACUGUAGUGAUUAUCAAGAUACAUGCUUGGAAUAUUUAUUCCCUCUUUCCCCACCUUUCAAAAUAAGGAUUUAGAGCAGGAGUUGGCAGGGCCAAAUCCAGCCUGCAGCCUAUUUUGGAAAUAAAGUUAUUGGGAUGCUGCCAUCCCCAUUCACUCACAUACUGUGCAUGACUGCUUUCAUGCUUCCAUGACAGAGCUGAGUGGUUGCAACAGAGACCGAAUGGCCUGCAAAGCCUAAAAUAUUUACUUUCUGGACCCUUACAGGAAGUUUGCCAACCCCUGAUUUAGAAAGUGAAAACCUAAAUGGGGAAGUCUUACAUACUUUAACGUAUCUUAGCAAGCACUGUUAUGUUAAUGUAUAUGGACAGCACUUAAAAUAUAUCAAUAAACAAUUAUGAUCAGUAAACAUUUAUUUAGAGCCUAUUGUGGCCCAGAGAGUGUCCUGUGCUCAGAGGCUAUAAAUACCAAUAACACCCCAUCUCUCCCCUCAUGGAACUCAGUCUCAGGGGAGAGGAAUAUGUAAAUGAUAAGUGCAAUGCAAUGUGACAUAAAUAAUAUCAAGAAGAAGAGAAUCAGAAAAAAAAGGAGAGGGGACUGAUUAAUUCUGUCAGAAGUAGAGAAAGGCUUAACAAGAUAAGUGAUAUGUAUUAAAUUGUAGGAAAUGUUAGAUAAACAGCUUUCUUUAGUAUUUUUUGAGUUAGAAAGCAAGUUUUUAGCUUGGGGUCAGAAUAUUUUUAGAGAAAAAGUUUAAAAUGUGCCUAAAUCUGAAAUUCUGGAUUUAAAAAAGUGAAAAUCUGCAUGUUCCUCUAAUACCUAAUGACGAAUUCUAAUUGCAGAAGGAUGCCAAUAACUAAAACCACAAAAUGAACCCUAUGUAUACCGGUGACCUUCUUUACUCAGAAUUAAUUAACACAAGCACUUGUUUCUUGCAGAGCACUUUGCUGUAAUUUAGAACAAAUUAAGGGAAAAAAUCAUUCAAGUGCUGUUUUCUUCACACCAUGAAUAUACAGAGCUUGGUAGGAGCUGGAAACCCGACUCACAGAUUUAGGAAACAGUGGGUUCUUGUCCCUGUGGACAUCAGAACUUGGGGGACGGAGAGAUAGAGAACCAGAAGGCAGAACAAGGAAAAACUCAAAGAAAGGAAUGGGGAGGAAUGGAAACGUAACAGGACAUGUUGCCUCAGUGAGUCACCAAGGGCUUUGGAGUUCUUAGCCCAAAAUGUGGUUCUGUGGAGGCUGAGGACAAACUUCAGGACAGAGCAUGCCUUAAUCGAUGUGCUAAGCCACUGGCUCGGGCAGUCCUUAAGCAAGGGCUCCUCUGAUCAGACAAGGAAUUGUUUCCUUCCCUUUUACUCCAGAUGACACCUAAAGGUGCAAAAGAAAACCAUCUCUGCACACUACCAAACAGACAGUGCGUGAACGAAGCAGACCCUCCUGACCACAGCCAAGGACUGGAGAGCUUGGUGAAACUGGUGCUCAAGGUAUACAGGUGAGAGGAGCUGGAAAAUUCAUUGCUGACAUGGAGAAAUACAUGUGUAUCGGGGAAAGGGGGCAGAUAUAAGAAGGAUCAUUUUGGUUUGUUUGAAAAUCACAUAUCAAAGUGUUGAGGAAACAGAAGUUAUCCACAUCGUAUUGCCCAAGUCCUUAUUGCCAUAAAUGUAUUGGACAACAUGGGGCACCACAGGAGUAAUAUGCCUCAGACCAGAUUGGAAAUGGAACGUACCGUGACAUACAACCAACUGUUAUUCUUAACAAAAUAUAGGAUCUAACCAAAUUGUCCAUACUGGGGUCUGGAACAGAUUUUUCCUGGGAGCGAAAAAAGAACACGACCCCAAAUCCACUUCUCGUGUUUUUAUUUUUUAUUUUUUUAUUUUUGUUCGCAC